rnacentral:rRNA from 1 species
ACGCUCGACACCUACGGGGGCAGCAGUUGGGAAUAUUGGACAAUGGAGGAAACUCUGAUCCAGUGACGCCGCGUGAAGGAAGAAGGUCUUCGGAUUGUAAACUUAUUUUGUCAGGGAAGAAAAAUGACUGUACCUGAAGAAAAAGCACCGGCUAACUACGUGCAGCACGCCGAGUAUCNGAGGCGGNNGCAG